UUACGGCAGUUCGGGAAUGUACCCGCAGCUUCUAGAACCCUCCAUUCUCCCCACGUAUAAGGCCGCGCCCCGCGAUCCAAGCAGCAGCAGCCAUAGCCCCCGCCAGCUCGCCGCCGCCGCCAUGUUCGGCGUCGUCUUCCCGGACCACAGCUUCCCGCUCGACGUCACCGCCUUCGCGCAGGUGGCGCCCAACUCCUGGGCGCUCGACCUCUCCACGCUCUCCCUCGCCGCCGCCCCGCGCUCCGCCGUCGUCUUCCUGCUCCCGGCCGCCGCCGCCGCGCUCCCGCCGGGGAAGGCCGUCGCCGUCUACUUCCAGCCCGCCGCCAACCGCCCCUUCGCGUUCCUCGGCGCGCUCGGCCCGGGCCGCCCCUCCGCGAGCCUCCCGCUCCCGGAGGCCGGCGACGAACCGGAGCCCCCCCUCGGCCCCGCCAAGCUCGGCGUCGCCGUGGAGGACGCGGCGGCGCUCCCUCCGCCCCCCGACGGGCAGCGCGCCGAGCGUGUCGCGCUCCGCGUCGGCGAGAACCUGUUCAACUUCAUGCAGUCGUUCUGCGGCGCCGACGGCGGCAAGCUGGUGGUGCCCACGGACAUCCUCGACCGGUGGUUCCGCAAGUUCCAGGAGCGGGCCAAGAAGGAUCCCUCGUAUCUCAAGACAUUCGACUUUUGAGAGCGAAGAUCAGUAGACAUUGAAAGGUUUAGCCUUCGCUGGUGUGCUGUUGCUCCCCUUUUCUUGGGUUAUUUUGCAGUUCAUUGCAAACUGCAUGUCGGCAGAAAGGGUUGGUUAGUAGAGUUUUGUAUUUGUAGACCAUCUAUCAGUUCUGUAUUUCUAGACAGAAAUUAACUUGUCAUUCAGGGACUGGAUUCAAUCAUGGUUGCCAGUUUUUUUUUUCUUUUUUUUUCUGUACUUCUAGUACUCCUAGAGAAGUGGUACCAAAAGCCAGAACCACAAGAAGGUACUUGCGUCAAAAGAUGAAAUCGUGUUGCCAAACUGUACAGUAAUACAAUUGAACUUUGCUACUGCGUGUCAACUUUAUCUUGGAGUUGCCGUUUCAUGCUAAGAAAGGGGUAAUUCUCAAGUUGUUUACUGUUCUGCUGUUCACUGGCGUUUUAGCUACUACACAGGCUUGUUCUUUACACAUGUCAGGCCUCCCUAUAUCUUUGGAAGACCAAAAUGCAGCAAGGGUGUUGUAAAAUGUACUCCCUCCGUCAGCAAAAGGUAAUUUGCUUCUUUCUGGUCCAAAAUAGGGGUGCUGGCCAAAUAUUUCCUCAGUUGAAGACUAUCAGAGCUUCUAUCGCAAUGAAAGAUUAUCAGAGCUUCUAUCUCCUCUGCUUUUUGGAGGAUUUGGAAUCACAAAAACAACGUUAUCUUCAAUAAUCAACCACCAUCAGGUGCGUGAAUUUUACAUCAAAGAAGCAGAUGGACCGGCCCUAGAUGGGUGGAAGGCUGUCUUCUCAAUUGCUAUUUCUUCGGGCUCCUCCCAUGUUUAAUUCUGUUUCUUUCUCUUUAUUAUGUACUAGUAUGCUCCCUCCUUGUUUUCUUCUUUCCUGUAUUUUAAUUACCCGUUGUAAGCGACUUGGUUACUCCAUUAGGAGGAGCUUAUAUCAAUAUAAUUCAAUAUUCGCCCAAA